GAAGAGGACAGGAAGAAUGUGCUGAGAUUGCAGGAUCUGGUGGAUAAACUGCAAGUAAAAGUCAAGUCCUACAAGAGGCAGGCGGAGGAGGCUGUAAGUGAGAUAGGUGCUGACUGCUGCAGGCAGACCGGGCUGUUUCCCGUGGUGAGUUCUGAGAGAGGCGUGUGCUGAUCUAACCCGCCUGGGCUCUUUGGUUUUAGGAUGAACAAGCCAAUGCUCAUCUCACCAAAUUCCGAAAGGCUCAGCAUGAGCUGGAGGAGGCCGAGGAACGUGCGGAUAUCGCAGAAUCUCAAGUGAACAAGCUCCGCGCUAAGACUCGAGACUUCACCUCCAGCAGGAUGGUGGUCCACGAGAGUGAAGAGUGAGCCAGCCCUUCUGGAGCAGGACAGAAGAUAUGCAAAAUGUAUAUUUUCUUGGUUCCUGACCAUUGAUACUCAAUGUCCAUGUGACUCUUUUUCACAUGCGAUAAACUUUGCUUUGUUUCAA
rnacentral:sRNA from 1 species